UACAGAGGUCCCAAGCGUUGUUCGGAUUCACUGGGCGUAAAGGGUGCGUAGGUGGCAUGGUAAGUUUGAUGUGAAAGCUCGGGGCUCAACCCCGAAAUGGCAUUGAAUACUACUGUGCUGGAGGGCUGGAGGGGGGACUGGAAUUCUUGGUGUAGCAGUGAAAUGCGUAGAUAUCAAGAGGAACACCAGUGGCGAAGGCGAGUCCCUGGACAACACCUGACACUGAGGCACGAAAGCCAGGGGAGCAAAC
rnacentral:rRNA from 1 species